ACGUAGGGGGCAAGCGUUGUCCGGAAUUACUGGGCGUAAAGCGCACGCAGGCUGAAUUAUAAGUCGGUAGUCAAAGGCGGAGGCUCAACUUCCGUUUAUCUAUCGAAACUGUAAAUCUAGAGUAUGUGAGAGGGGAGUGGAAUUCCCGGUGUAGGGGUGAAAUGCGAAGAUCUCGGGAGGACCACCAGUGGCGAAGGCGGCUUACUGGCACAAUCCUGACGCUCAGGUGCGAAAGCUAGGGUCGCGAACCG
rnacentral:rRNA from 1 species